AUUGAACGCUGGCGGCAGGCCUAACACAUGCAAGUCGAGCGGAUGAAGGGAGCUUGCUCCUGGAUUCAGCGGCGGACGGGUGAGUAAUGCCUAGGAAUCUGCCUGGCAGUGGGGGAUAACGUCCGGAAACGGGCGCUAAUACCGCAUACGUCCUGAGGGAGAAAGUGGGGGAUCUUCGGACCUCACGCUAUCAGAUGAGCCUAGGUCGGAUUAGCUAGUUGGUGGGGUAAAGGCCUACCAAGGCGACGAUCCGUAACUGGUCUGAGAGGAUGAUCAGUCACACUGGAACUGAGACACGGUCCAGACUCCUACGGGAGGCAGCAGUGGGGAAUAUUGGACAAUGGGCGAAAGCCUGAUCCAGCCAUGCCGCGUGUGUGAAGAAGGUCUCCGGAUUGUAAAGCACUUUAAGUUGGGAGGAAGGGCAGUAAGUUAAUACCUUGCUGUUUUGACGUUACCAACAGAAUAAGCACCGGCUAACUUCGUG
rnacentral:rRNA from 1 species